UACGGGGGAUGCAAGCGUUAUCCGGAUUUACUGGGUGUAAAGGGAGCGUAGACGGCGGUGCAAGCCAGAUGUGAAAGCCCGGGGCUCAACCCCGGGACUGCAUUUGGAACUGUGCUGCUAGAGUGUCGGAGAGGCAGGCGGAAUUCCUAGUGUAGCGGUGAAAUGCGUAGAUAUGUGGAAGAACACCGAUGGCGAAGGCAGUCUCCUGGGACGCAACUGACGCUCAUACACGAAAGCGUGGGGAGCAAACAGG
rnacentral:rRNA from 1 species